CGGGCGAUCAGUGGCGAACGGGUGAGUAACACGUGAGUAACCUGCCCCAGACUCUGGGAUAACAUCGGGAAACCGGUGCUAAUACCGGAUAUGAGACGAGACCGCAUGGUCAUUGUCUGGAAAGAUUUAUCGGUCUGGGAUGGACUCGCGGCCUAUCAGCUAGUUGGUGAGGUAAUGGCCCACCAAGGCGACGACGGGUAGCCGGCCUGAGAGGGCGACCGGCCACACUGGAACUGAGACACGGUCCAGACUCCUACGGGAGGCAGCAGUGGGGAAUAUUGCACAAUGGGCGCAAGCCUGAUGCAGCAACGCCGCGUGGGGGAUGAAGGCCUUCGGGUUGUAAACCCCUUUUAGCAGGGAAGAAGCGAAAGUGACGGUACCUGCAGAAAAAGCGCCGGCUAACUACGUGCCAGCAGCCGCGGUAAUACGUAGGGCGCAAGCGUUGUCCGGAAUUAUUGGGCGUAAAGAGCUCGUAGGCGGUUUGUCGCGUCUGCUGUGAAAGUCCGAGGCUCAACCUCGGAUCUGCAGUGGGUACGGGCAGACUAGAGUGUGGUAGGGGAGACUGGAAUUCCUGGUGUAGCGGUGGAAUGCGCAGAUAUCACGAGGAACACCAAUGGCGAAGGCAGGUCUCUGGGCCACAACUGACGCUGAGGAGCGAAAGCGUGGGUAGCA
rnacentral:rRNA from 1 species